UCCAGAUCCUGAACUAUGAAGUCUUCCUUUUUGGAAAGAAUAUCAUUAUUGAAAGUGCUGCAAGAGUUGCUUCGUCCGUGGUAUAAAUCAGCAUCUAGCCAUAAACCAAAUCGUCCCCUGAAAAGGUUAAAAAAAAAAAAAAAGGUAAAAACACUUCUAUGUUACAUGACACACUAUUCUCUCUUGCCCCCAUCUUCUUUCCUUUAUACUACUGACAGGCAAAAUUCUAAACUGCUUAUAAAACCAGGAUACAUUUCCUUUAUUUCAUUUAAAUGACCAGUCUUCCUAAAAGACAAGUGGUAACAGUCUCUCAUUAGACACAUAAAUAUUCUAUCUUUGAUUCUUAGUUAGGCCAUUCUGUGUUAGCCUCUGUCCUAAUUCAUCUAAGCACAUGGACUAGCUAAAAUAACCUGACACCGAAGUUUUAACUACGUAGGUCAAAACAGACCCACUCAGGUCAGGUGGUAAAAUAACAAUAAGAAAACAAAAACAAAAAAAACCUUACCCUCCACCACCAAGUUCUAAAGAACUUAUGUCUCCAUUGAUAAAGUAUGAAUUUUCUCCACUCCACUUAAAGACCUUGGGGAAGAAACACAAAAAAGAAAACAGACAUUUUAAUCUGGAGAAUUAGCAAUGAGGAAAUAUGAAAUAGUAUCUAUAUGUAAAAGGGAACCACCUCACCCCAUUGACGGAGGAAGUUCCUGACUGCCAGACCUGGCCCACACCAGGAUGAGAUCUCCCAAGGGGUUACGAAGGAAGGAAGACCUUUCAGACACGUGGUGGCUCUGACCUGCGACUCUCUGGAUCCCAGCCUGAGCAGCCCAGAAGGCCAGGGACGCUAAGCAGUUUGCGAGCUACAGUCAUAAAGGGCUGACCCAGCCCGGAGUCAGUUCAGGAGAAGUUACAGGACAGCUAGCUGCCCCAAUGCCUAUCCCCUUCCCCAACUGAGGACACUGUGACAUAUGGGAGUUGGAUAUUUCUCCUAUCUAGGUACCUUAAAAUGAGGGCUGAAUGUGUAGAGAAAAGUUUCGCCUGUGCCAUAAUAGUGGUCACUGAACUUGAAAGGAUGAGUUGCAUAUGCUCCAAAAAUCUGUCAAAAGAAAACAGAAAUGUUACCUACAUUCAAACCUAAAUCCCCAAAGCAAGGCUUUCUGGAAUAUUUUUGAUACAUCAUGUUCUGAGAUCUAUUUCAGCAAAGAUUAUUACUAAAUUGGCACUCAAACUUAAAAAGACCACCAAUAAAAGAAUAAACAAAUAUCCCCAGCUCUAACUGGAACCCAAGUAGCCAGACUUCCUGGUGCACGCAAAAUUCAUCUGACAAAGCUUAGACAACUUGUUUGUCAAAGGCCAACAAUUUGUUCCAAUUUUAAAAGAUUUCCAAAGUUCACUAUGGAGACAAAUUUCUGUUAUUGAAUAUACAUAACAUAAUAGAAACAUUAAGCCACAAGAAGAUACAUCUUGCUCACAGAAAUGAGUGCUUGGGACAACACAGUCACAUCUCUUAUGUAUUUUAUAAGUGGAGUCAUGGCUGGGCAUUUCCCCAGAGAAAAUAAACUUUCCUUUCUUUUGAUUUGUAACAAUGAGUUAUUAAUAUGCUUAUUAAAUUAAAAUUAUAUCCUUAAAAAUGACUGACUUACUAUAGUUUAGUUCAAAGUGACUUUUAAGAAACAAAUAACCCCGUAAUAUCAUGGAGUUAUUUAGAUCAUGAAUAUCAUGAAAGGUAACUUAGAUGUGUUUAAAUCAAUGGUUCUUGUACUUUUUCUUAUCGGGGGAUGGAAGGGGAGCCAAGCUACAUGAGGAGUAGUGUUUUCAGAAUGUGUACGCCCACUGCCUCAGCAUCUCAUCCUUCUGUUCACAUCCUGAUCAGCACUUGCAGGGGUGAGCAUAUGUAUUCUGAAAAUGUCCCUAGGUGAUUCAGACAUUCUUUCUAUUUCAAAUCCCAUUUGAGGAACAUUGCUUUAAAUGUAGGUUAUCUGGAAAAUGUCAUAGCAUUUUUCAAAAAUUAUUUCAAUUAGAUCACAAUCUCUGUGUGCUGUCUUCUUCACCACUUACACUCAGUUCCUGGCUAUACUUGUAACACUAAGUAUUAGGUAGAAGGCUAGAAACUCUUUCUAACCAGUAUUUUUCAUACUUCUUGCUACCAAACCUUUCCCUAGAGCUGCUAAGAACAAAGAAAUAUAGCACAGUAACAAAACAUAAAAAAUCCUUUGCCCUUCUUCUGGUAAUCUUCCAAAAAAAAGAACCAGAAUACAAUCAAAAUAGGCAUCUAUUUUUAAAAGCAUGGGGUUAAAAUAUGACAAAAUAUGACAAAUACGUGGAAGAAAAUGAGUUCCCUCUCUGAUCAGUCAAUAAGUUAUCUUUACUUUCACACCCUCCAUAGAAUUUUAAAUAUUUUCUUUUUUAGCUAAAAUUCCACCACCCCCCUCCCUUUUUUUUUUUUUGAGAUGGAGUCUUGCUCUGUUGCCCAGGCUGGAGUGCAAUGGCAUGAUCUCAGCCCCUCUGCAACCUCCACCUCCUAGGUUCAAGUGAUUCUCCUGCCUCAGCCUCCCGAGUAGCUGGGAUUACAGGUGCACACCACUAUGUCUGGCUAAUUUUUGUACUUUUAGUAGAGACGGGGUUUCACCACGUUGGUCAGGCUGGUCUGGAACUCCUGGCCUCAGGUGAUCCACCUGCCUCGGCCUACCAAAGUGCUGGGAUUACAGGUGUGAGCCACCACACCUGGCCUUUUAGCUAAAAUUUUCUUAGCAAUUCUGGAAAUGCAUUUAAAGACUAAGGGCUGGAUGAUAUUGGGGAAUUACUGUUAAUUUUGUUAGAUCUAUUGCAUUGUGAUUAUGAGAAAAUGUCUUUUUUUCUAUUAAUGUAUUUAAAAAAAUUGUAUAAAACAACUUUUAUAUAAUAGUGUUGUUCAGCCUAUACCAUAUAAAAAUGUAAUACAUUUAGCAAUAGCAGAACAAAGGAAUCCAAGGGAAUAGAUGAAGAGCAACCCAGAAAUGAUAAAAGGAAAGUCAUAUAACAAAACAUAUAAAUGUACAUUUGCUCUUCUUCUCUCAACUUCCUUAGCAGACAUAAAAUUAUGUAACAUAGUAAUCAUAACAAUCUAUUGCUAUAUUUGUAAUAUAUACAGAUAUAACAUUUAUAACAUUAGUACCACAAAAAGUUAAAAGAUGUAAUAGAGCAAAAUAGGAGUAACAUUUCUAUACUUCACUGGAAGUUAGUAAUUAGUCUCUAUUAAUUGCCUGAUGAUUGUUCUAUUGUUGUCAACAAUGCCUGGUGGUGUAAAUUAUUCCACAGUCUGAUUCAAUUAAAUGUAGGUUCCUUUGCAUGGAUAGUUUCUUUGGCCAGACUAUGAAGUUUACCCUGUCUCCAGAAAGGCUCUCCAUAGCUGUCUCUUUUCUUGGAUCUCUCUGGUAAAGUAGAUGGUCUACAGUUUAAUUUGUUGCCUUCAUGGCUACAGCCUUCUUCUUAACACCAAAAUUCUCAUUGUUUUCUAGAGUGCCCUUUGGCUUGAACUUCCCCAAGUGUGUCUAAACAAAGUCAGUUCCUUUGGGUAGAGCUUUAGAACUCUAUGUCCUGUGGCCUGCCUCUUCCCCUGGGAAAAAAAUCUCUAACCCACUGCUCUGAAGCUAGGGACUAGACAGUGACAGCAGCCUCUGGUCUUGGCUUGCCUCAUCUGGUGCAAAACUUCUGCCCUGUGAGCUGAAAUGAGAGCAGGAGAGACCCCUGUAUUCUCAGCCUGCCAUGCCUACCGUAGAGCAUGGCUCUGUGAGUGGAGGGUGGGUAGAAGAAGAAAGCCCCCUACCUCUAGGCCACACUUGCUUGGAUUUUAGCCUCAGAAACACUGAUCUUGGGUGGGAGAUAAGAAAUACAGGGGACCCACAGUGAGAGAGGGUACACCAUAACCCUUGACUGGCAGCUGUGGGAAGAGAGUGCCCCAUCUUCUUGGCCAUACAUGCCCAGAGUGGAACCACUGUCAGUCUCAGCGGGGGGUUAGGGAAGGGAGAGAGUUGUGCCUCAAGUGCCACAGAGUCCCACUGUUAUAACUGAGAUUAAUUAGAUUUUCUUGAAUAAAUAUUCCCUCACUGGCUUAGAAUAAUUUCCAGAGACUUUAAGUGAUUGUUGUUUUUGUUAUUUCUACCAGCUAUGGUUCUUUCACUGGGGACUGAUUCUGCAGAGCUCCUCAUUGCUGCCAGUCUACAUAUAUAAUAUUUUUAUAUUAGAAUGUCAUAUAAUUCAUUUUCAGACACAUUUGCAGGUGUUGUUCUAUCAUGUUCUCAAACACAGCAAAGCCACAGUUUCCCCUUCGGGGUAGAUGGGGUGCAGAAAGCAAAGUUAGUGUCUGGUUGUCCUCAAAUGACACAAGUGCCUCCAGGGUACAUGAUUCAGCAAGACUCCACCCAGUGACAAGACUGCAACCUUCAGUUGUAGGCCUCCUUUACAAAUCGCACAGGAAGUUUGGUAAAACUGUGCUUCAUCAAUACCUGUUCUGUGUGAACCAUCACAUUCCUCAACAAGUGUGAUAUUUUGGUAAGUAAAUAGGACAAAUAAUCUAUACUUAGGUGAGAGUCUGUAUGUGUGCUCUAAGAUAAUAUAGCCAUACCUCAUCCAAAAUAUAACAUCCAAUUCUGGAACAUUUCACUAAAUUCCUAAGUCUCUUUUAAACCAACUGUUAUCAUUAUUUUAAUUUUUUUAUCUUGACUCUACCCACCUUUCAGCUUGGAUCUUUAUUAAGCAAAAUGUCAGCAAUCAGGAAAUAACAAUAGUAACAAUGACAGCUAAAUUAAUUCCCACAACUCUUAAGCUACAAUAAUAUUACGAUAAAGUCACAAAGAUCACUGCUAAGAAAGACAGUGUCUUUGGUACCCCCAUUUGUUCCCUAAUUUUUCCCAAGGCAAAUCAUGACAGCAAAGUUCUAUUUCCUGUAAAAUGAUCCCAUGUAUAUGGCUCAUUACAACGUGGACAUGUCUCAGUAUAAAAAUGUUGUGCUUCACAGUAAGCUCCCCAAUGCUUAACAGUGCCUAGCGCCUAACAGGCUCUAAUUAGAUAUUUGCUGAGUGGAUGAAUAAAUGAAUGAAUGAAUGAAUAAAUGUUGAGUAAAAUCUGCUUCAGUGACAGAAAAUCUGCUCAAUGCUGCAUCUUAAAAUCUUAGAGGAAUUUCUAACAGAACACAGGUCAAACUGAAAUGAGCAAUGAGCAGAUGUGAAUGAUGUCUUCCUUUCAUGAUGCAAGAGACUGACAGGAAAGUGACCGAAAAAAACCUGGACAGAUUCCACUCCCAUUCUGAGCUGACUUACGGGAAGAGAUAACAGUGCAGGGACAAGGGGUAAUAACUAGUUUUCACUAGUUCCUCCAAGAAAGACCAACUGUAACACAGGCAAAAGUACAAUCAAGAACGGUACAGUGUAUUCUCUGUGGUUUCUUAACAAUUGGGCCCCUCAGGCACAACACACUAUGGCCUUGACUGACUCUCCAUCACAUCCAAAAUGCAGGCAAGGUUUGUGGGCACUACUUUGGCUACCUGGGAAAGGCACUGGUAUGGCACUGGAACUUAUUUCUGCAACUGUUUCCAAAUCCAGAUCUCACUCCACCCCAACUUUCCAGUUUUUAGGCUGUGGGAUAUCAUUAUACUUUUCCACUUCAUGGUGAUAGAAAAAAGCUCCUUAGAAUGUGACUGUAUUUGGAAGUAUGAUCCAUUUGCAUUUUGGAGAUGAUCCUGAAAUAUGUAGGGGUGAAAUGCCAUAAUGAUUGGGAUUUACUUCAAAAUAUUUCAGCAGAGAAAAAACAAAGAUAAAAGACACAGAAGGCAAAAUCCUGUUAACUGUGGAAUCUGGGUGAUGGAAGUAUAUGGUACUAGUCUCUCUACUGUUGGGAAUUUUGAAAAAUUAUUAAAAAAUAUUCUUUAUGAGAGGGACAGGCCUCACCUGAUUAUCCAUAUCUUUGAUGACCAAUAGGACAGGACUGUCUAGUGAUGCCGAUUUCCGGUAGAGCGUCUUUAAGCUGGUCCCGUGCUCUAACGUGCUAUAGGCCAGUCUCCAUGGAUACCCUUGCACCCUUGCAGGAAGGCGUCGGGCCAGCUACAAAGCCAAAGGAAGAGAUGUAAACAGAAGGUUCACCCACAAAUUGCUCACGAACAUGUGGCACAAAACAAAUGCCUGUUAUUCAAACUCAGUAUCAUACACUCACAUAGUGCCCCUCCUUAUUCUGGCAAAUAUUUGCUAUUCUAAACCAAGAAAAUGAUCAUUUGACAGUGUUUACCUUGGCAAGGAUACUGGCCAGGAGGUGUCUUCCCAUUCAGGGACAUGACUAUGGAGUCCCUAUCCUGCUAUAUAUUUGAAGACACAGAUCAAGCUGGAUAAAGAGGCAUAAACUAGACACAUGCCCUUCCUUUCCACUUCAACCUGGCUUUUACCAAACAGUUCAUAUUUUCCCAAUUUUUCUUUCUAAACACUCAGAGGCUCAAAACUGCUACUGAGAGCUGCAGCUUUGCACAGAAGUGAGGGCAAAAAAACAGGGACGUUUAGUGUUAGAAGUCAGGUGUCAUCUGUUCUUAUUGCACCUAUAUCUUUUACCUGCAUCAAUAUUUAAACUUGGCCAUAAAUAACCAAUAAUGUAUAUCUCUUCAAGAAUAUUACCAAAGGAGGCCAUGAAGUGCUGAGUCUUCAGAGUGCUUAAAAUCAGUUUCAGUGUCAGUGUGAAUCCCACACUCUAUAAUUACUUGGUCAAGCUUCUUGGCUGUCUUGGGUCUUUACUGGUUCCUCAGUAAACUAGGGAGCCAAACUUAAUGAUUAUUUAAGGUCUCUAAAAUUCAUGUCUCUAAGCUGACUGAUGAGGGAAAUGCCAGGGAUUCCUUACUACAGUUCAAACAUAAGUGCAUUAUAAUAUUUCAUGAAUUUCAAGUAAACAUUCAGAAACUAAAAUACACAAAGAAAAUCAUAGAAAAAGGAAAAAUUGUCCUGUAGGUAGGUAUUUUUCAUAAAGCAAGUAGAGUGCCUUUGCUGUAUUACUUUUAUUGAGCCCUAUACAUCAAAGCUAUGGGAACUCUGCAAUAAUUACAAGGAUAAAUUUGGAUCCUUUUUAAAGCAUAUUAGGACUAUGGUAGGACGCUUAAAAUUUUUAUUUUUUUAAGAUUAGAAAUGGCUUUUUCUUCAGGUUUGAGAGAAGGAUGUUAGUGUCUGACCAACUCCUCAUACUACUAAGAAGUCAGCAGGGAAUGCGACUUUUCAGAGGCAGAGCAGGGGGCACUGGCCUUAGUGGGCUGCUGGUGUUCCUCCUUCCUCACAAGCCUCAUCCUUCAGCCCAAGUGAGAAGGGCAAAUGCAUUCAGGGAUGGGAAUUUUUUUUUUUUUUGAGACAGAGUCUCACUCUGUUGCGCAGGCUGGAAUGCAGUGGUGCGAUCUUGGCUCACUGCAACCUCCACCUCCCAGGCUCAAGCAAUUCUCCUGUCUCAGCCUCCUGAGUAGCUGGGAUUAGAGGCAUGUGCCAUCACGCCCGGCCAAUUUUUGUAUUUUUAGUAGAGAUGGGGUUUUGCCAUGUUGUCCAGUCUGGUCUCAAACUCCUGACCUCAAGUGAUCCGCCUGCCUUGGCCUCCCAAAGUGUGAGGAUUACAGGCAUGAGCCACUGUACCUGGCCAAGGGAAAUAUUUCUUAAAGCCUAGGAACCCCCACCCUUGGUGGCCAGGGCGAGCCCACCUGCUCGAUGUGCAUAUUCUCCAGGAGCGCGCUGUGGGGCCGUAGGACAGGCAGCACCUCUUCGUCCUCGUCUUCAUAGUAGCUGCAUGUGCUCUUCCUGCGCUUUGCCUCUUCAACAGUGAUGAUCUGAAAUGAGAAAACAAGCCAAGAAAAAUAACUUAUUGGCUUUUCUUCUAACUGCUAAUUUAAAAAAUCACUCUAGGGACACCCGUGCUUGAAAAGGUGACGCUUCGGCAGCAGGAAAUCAACUGAACAGGACUUUGGGGAAAUGGCUAAUUUUUCAGUUUCAGAACAAAUGCACAAUUAAAGACAGUACAAUCGAGGCAGUUAAUAUGUAUAAAUUAAAGUCACAAGUCACAAGGCUAGACGUGGUGGCUCAUGCCUGUAUGCCCAGCACUUUGGGAGGCCAAGGCAGGAGGAAGAUGGCUUGAGCCCAGGAGUUUGAGACUAGCCUGAGCAACAUGAUGGGACCCCUAUCUCCAUAUAGAAAUAAAAUAAAUAAAUAAAUAAAGUCACGAGUUUUCCAGUUUUAGUAUAGCUGCUGAUUGCUCGGUCACUGAGAAUAGUAUAUAACACCAGAAGAUUUCUACCUUUGAAAUGCCCUAAAUGAUUCUCUUUUAGCCUUUAGAUUUAGGAUCUGAAUUGUUAAAGGACUAAUCGGAGAUCAUUCAGUAGGUAAGUCUUCUAUAAAUAGGGAGUUUGCGGUGAUGAGGAUAGUUUUUAAUCAGGUUCCUGAUGUUUUCUCUUAAGGUUGUGCACAUAGAAACCACUUCUGUUAGAAAUAACGAAUGAUAACAGCUACCAGGAGCAUGAGUACAAAGAAGUGUGAAGCUUUAGUCUAAAUUACAACUAGGUUACAAUUAUUUAUGUACUGUUCAGAGAUGAUAAAAAUAGUCUCCCCUUCUAAACCUAGAAACAUCAUAUUGUACAAAACAUUUAUUAUUUAACUCUAGCUAUGCUUAUGAAUUACCAAAGUUCAUUUUACUCUAAAAUCCAUUUUUGGCCCUUCUUAAAUUAUGGAUAAAUCACUGGAUUACUUUCAGAUUGAAGAGUGUAUAUUAGGCUUCUUGGCCUUUUGUGUAAGAUCAAGUGAAGGAUUAUAUUAGACAACUAAUUCACCAAAAUGUACUAGUAUUAAUGAUUUUAUAUUAUAGAGAAAAACAUUUAAGUUAAAUCCAGUGCAAGUUGUCAGGCAGUAGUGCACUACUCAAUUUCCAAAAUGCACAAUGACAGAUACAAAGUACCCGCUGGCGUCUGAGCCAGAUUUACAAGUAAGAAAAUUAAGCUUACUAAUUUUACCAUUUUCUGGGGGAGUGUUUCCGUAGUGAAAACACUAUCAAGAAUCACAAACCAAGCAUUUUAAAUGAAUGAAAUAAAACACUCUGUUUUCAGCAAACUCUGUGUUUAUCACAAGUAUAAAAUGAGGCUGUGGAAUGAAAAAAAAUCAAAUAUGGAUUUCUGGCUCCAAUGAGAAGAGGCAACCACACCAUAACCCUCUCCGCAAUGAAUAAAACACCUGCUGGUAGAAAUGUCAGCACAAUCCUUUCUAAUUAGAACGACUUUCAAAAGAAACUCGGAGGUACAUCACUGAGAAUUCACCAGCACCUUAUUAGCCCUCGGGACGCACUCCAACAUACCUUCACAAAAGGCUCUUCGUCAGGUCUGGCACAAUAGAAAAUCUGGAUGUCCAAGGGUAAUCUUUGGCCUCUCAUUGUGAGCAGUGAGAAGUGUGGCUCUCUCUCUAAUGAGGAACAAGUUUUCUCUCUACUCUGCUUCCACACCACAGUUACUUGUAGCCACGCUGAGCUACAACUGUUUUCUCAGUAUCUAGUUUCCUGCAUGAUUGAGUUUCUGUUUCCCUCAGGAGAAGUUUCAACAUUUCUACAGGAACACACCCAAAUUAGGAUUUAGAGCAAACACACUUCCUGCCAGGCAUCGCUGUGAGACUGUAAAAGGACACUUUCACCUUUGAAACGGUGGUUUCCCAACACUAUGAUAAAACCCCAUUGUUCAUUUUUUUUCUUUUCCUUCUUAUACUUUUUUUCCUAAUCGUCCCUCCAGUGAACCUAGCUUUUCUAGCCCUGCCUUUUCAGAGUUUUUUUUCUUUUUUUUUUCUCCCCCGCCCCCAGCACCUUCUUUAAGGCUAAAGCUCCAUUUAAAAUGGUACGUGUGAUCCCUGGUAUAAGCUUGAAUCUCAAAGGAAGGAUGAAAAGGAGCCUUCGGUGGAGAUCCGAAGUGGCCUUUCAGUCUUGGGCACAGCUGCGGGGAUCAGAGUGUAUUGUAUUGCUCACACUGGGGGUUAUAAAGAAGACUCUAGCAGAUACUUAGAGACCAGUCCACGGCCAGCAGAACUGACUCUCAAUGCAACAGCCUGAGCACAACCUGGGACAGAAUGCCAGCAAGACAACACUCUCCUCUGGGCCCCUGGGACUCCAGGACAGCGGACAUUUAUUAUUUCCUAUAUGAUGGUGGGUGCCAGGUGCUUUGCCAGGCACAGAGACAUAAAGCUGCUCACAGUCUCCAGCAGCUGUCUCCCCAGGUGGUCUCCCUCACCUGGACAAUGUAAAUUAACAGCUUAUUUUCACAAGUCGGAAACAAGAGCAGACUAGAAAUUGACCUUACUGCUCACCUCCAGACCAAUGCAUACUGGACUUCUUCCACGACUCUGUUUACUUCAUCUUAUGUAAAGUGCAGAUUUACUGCGCACAAGGCAUACAUGAUUGAGGGUUCCUCUACCCUCUCCUUUGCACAUGCAACAUUUGGAUUCAGUGCACACUAAUCAAAGACUCACAAGAAAGUAACCGUUUGUCUCAUUUUUUCUACCCUCCUCUUUUCUCCUUCCUCUCCAGCCCACUUUUCCCCCUUUAAAUACUGAAGCCCUCAAAACCCUCUUUGGAAAAAGUGCAGGACACAGAUCCUACUGUGGCUUGUGUCUCUUUUUCCCUCCCUAACCAGAUGCAUCCUCAACCUUAGCAAAAUAAACCUCUAAAUUGAUUGAGAUCUGUCUCAGGCAUUGUUUUUGGUUUAUAGGAUACAGAUGCCAAAAUCUACAGCAGACACUCAAAGGAGGUUGGGGUGACCUGGGGGGUUCUGAGAUAGCUUAUUCACAGAGGAGAUGGUGCUUCAGUUUGAGAGCAAGGAUAGGGUGUGAGAAGAUGUUCCAGGGACAGGGCACAGCAGGAAUGCAGAGAUGGAUUCUGGGUUCACAUUGGCUGGAGAAGAGACAGCAAGGAAAGCAGUGAUGAGGAAGGUAGAUGAGAC
rnacentral:lncRNA from 10 species